rnacentral:rRNA from 1 species
AUUGAACGCUGGCGGCAUGCUUUACACAUGCAAGUCGAACGGUAACAGGUCUUCGGAUGCUGACGAGUGGCGAACGGGUGAGUAAUGCAUCGGAACGUGCCCAGUCGUGGGGGAUAACGCAGCGAAAGCUGCGCUAAUACCGCAUACGAUCUAUGGAUGAAAGCGGGGGACCGUAAGGCCUCGCGCGAUUGGAGCGGCCGAUGUCAGAUUAGGUAGUUGGUGGGGUAAAGGCCCACCAAGCCAACGAUCUGUAGCUGGUCUGAGAGGACGACCAGCCACACUGGGACUGAGACACGGCCCAGACUCCUACGGGAGGCAGCAGUGGGGAAUUUUGGACAAUGGGCGCAAGCCUGAUCCAGCAAUGCCGCGUGCAGGAAGAAGGCCUUCGGGUUGUAAACUGCUUUUGUACGGAACGAAACGGCUCUCUCUAAUACAGAGGGCUAAUGACGGUACCGUAAGAAUAAGCACCGGCUAACUACGUGCCAGCAGCCGCCGUAAAAC